AUACGGAGGGUGCAAGCGUUAAUCGGAAUUACUGGGCGUAAAGCGCGCGUAGGCGGCUACUUAAGUCAGAUGUGAAAUCCCCGGGCUCAACCUGGGAACUGCAUCUGAUACUGGGUAGCUAGAGUUUUGGAGAGGGAAGUAGAAUUUCAGGUGUAGCGGUGAAAUGCAUAGAGAUCUGAAGGAAUACCAGUGGCGAAGGCGACUUCCUGGCCAAAAACUGACGCUGAGGUGCGAAAGCGUGGGUAGCAAACGGGAUUAGAAACCCUAGUAGUCC
rnacentral:rRNA from 1 species